rnacentral:rRNA from 1 species
CCUACGGGGGGCUGCAGUGGGGAAUAUUGCACAAUGGGGGGAACCCUGAUGCAGCAACGCCGCGUGAGCGAUGAAGGCCUUUGGGUCGUAAAGCUCUGGCCUCAGGGAAGAAUACUGACGGUACCUUAGGUGGAAGCCCCGGCUAACUACGUGCCAGCAGCCGCGGUAAUACGUAGGGGGCUAGCGUUAUCCGGAAUUACGGGGCGUAAAGGGUGCGUAGGCGGCCCUUCAAGUCAGGGGUGAAAGGCUAAGGUGCUACCGUAGCAAGCCUUUGAAACUGUAGGGGUUGCGUGCAGGAGAGGAGAGUGGAAUGCCCAGUGUAGCGGUGAAAUGCGUAGAUAGUGGGAGGAGCACCAGUUGCGAAGGCGGCUCUCGGGACUGUAACUGACGCUGAGGCACGAAAGCGUGGGGAGCGAACAGGAUUAGAUACCCGGGUAGUC